rnacentral:ncRNA from 1 species
UAUUUCUGGCAUAAAAACACAUCGCAGUUGGUAGUCUGUGAGCAUCUGAGGAUGUCAGUAACCUUCCCUCCCGGGUCGUCCGAUGUCAGAUAUUUUAAU